UAGUAUCAGAGUGAGACAGAAACAAAAUGGUUGCAUCCAAAGCGGAAUGUUUCACAUAUAAUUAUAAAGAAUUUUAUUUUUAUUUAUCACUGAGGGUAAACUGAGUGAUCACAUCUCUGCCCGGGGCCCUGUAAGUCUAAUACAUGCCCAAAUUGUAAUGUGAGGGUUCCAGCAAAAUUAAUCAGAUUAUUCUCGUUCUUAAGAGUUAAGUGCUUUUCUGGAGUAGGAUCUGCACAAGAGGAAAAGGGCCAAGCCUACCCAGCUGCAAGUUUAGCAGAGCUUACGCCAGGUUUGAAUGCUCCAGCAAAGAGAAAUGGCUGCAUAUCCAUAAUUUACAGGACUAUAAAUAUCAAGAGCUCCGCUGAUGUCAUGCAUGAGCAUGUAGUUCUUAAUCAGGUAACAUUUCCGCUGGCUAUGAGAUAAGCGCCUUUAAGAAAAGGACUACAGGACUGAGCUGUCACAGCUCAUUUUAACUUUUUUUUUUUUUUUUUUUGCAUUUAAACUCCUUACAUCCCAGUUUCUAUCACCAUUCUCCCAUUGACUGUUUUUAGUUCAUUUCAACAGCGCUUUUUUUGUUCCACAUUGUGACUGUAUCAGCUUUAGCAUUCAAAAGAUAAAAGGCUAUCUGUGGUUAUCCACGUGAAUCUUUGCACCCUUUACUGAGAUUACUGCUAUAAAGGGCUAAAUUUUGGCCUGACACAUUAAUUUGCCGGGCAUACAACAGAAGCUUGGCACCUGGAGGUGAAGAUAGAUAGAAGAGGGGCAAAAGUGCAAGUAAUAUUUUGAGCUAAUUUAAGGGCUGAAGUUACUAAAUCUUAAUUAGUUAAUGGCUGCUUUGGUUCCCAUUCUUGGCAUGUUCAAACUGUGCCUCCAAAAGAGUAUAUAAGAGGUCAAAAACCUAGCUAUUACUUCUUCAUUAUAAGGAGGAAGUUUUAAAAUGUCCAGGGCUUUUAUUUUGAAAUUUAUUAUGCAUUCUUUAUUUUGGCAGGUCUGAGAUAAACCAGCAAACAUACUAAUGAAGACAAGAACUGUCCUGAGGAAAUACCUCCUAUUAGUUAAUAAGCAGACACAGUGGUCUGGAUUAGGAAGGAACAUGACAACAUUGUUGAAAAUGAAGAUGUGUAUCCUCAGUGAAGCCAAUGAGUCCACAGAAGCCAGGACUGUGUAACCUGCUGCUGCACAUCAGGAUUCCAGAAGAGGAAAUGAACACUACGAAUAGUGAGAGCAAUAAUACACAAGGGGCCUACUUUACUGCUAUUGUUUCUUCUUCUGUAAUACCCCUGGUGAGUUUUCAGAGAUGGCAGGGAGCAAGUGCAACCAUAGUGCAAGUGAAAUUACCAUCCUUACUAUUGACCAAUGAUAGGAGAAAACCUCACAUCAAGAAUGUGCUCAAGUCAUCCAAGAUCAAAUGAAGACUAUCAGAUGAAUAGUUAUUACACUCCUCCCAGGAGCAAAUGAGAGAUGGGAACCCUCAGGAUGGGCAGAGCCAUCCAUGCUGAACACUUGCUGUCUCCAGCCUUGCACAAAAUUAAUGUUACAGACGGAUACCUAUGUUUCUAAAGCCUCGAUGCUGCUAUACUUUAAUAUCUUGAACUAAAUUAAUGGGUGAGACAGCAAAAACAGCCCAACAUCCUUCUUUCCCUUUCUUCUUCCUCUCAAAAAAACACUUAUUUUGGAGUGAAAUAAGAUUAAAACUUGUGUUUCAGUGGAGCUUACCUGAAGCAAGAACAUAUUAGAACUUCUCCAGAAUAAUAUUUCCAUCUUAAGACAUCUAAAAAUGUUAAUUAUUGGACAUUAAUAGCCGGAAAUAUUGCAAAAUAAAAUUGUUAAAAGUCAAAGUUAUGUCAACAAUAAUUACUUUGCUGUCCAGGUAUUAUUCAAGCUUACCAGAAACCUC
rnacentral:lncRNA from 7 species